UCCAUCUCAUUCUCUCACCUCUCUCUCAUUCUCACAGCAGAGGUAUGUCUUCUAUCCCUCUCCCUCUGUCUCUCUCUCCCUCCUCAGUCUCAUAUCUUUUUCGGCACAAACCCUUUUUAUAUUUUUUUGGCUGCGCAAACUGCUCCUCACAUCUCCGUUCAUAGCGAUUGCCCUUCAGAUUACGCGAAUGAUGAAAGAUCUCACCUAUUUCUCGGCAAUCGGAGUUGUAGAAACGCCAAAAAUCUCACAAUUUCAGAUCUCUGUCUGCCGGUGUCAAAUCUCACCACCACAUCUCCUCAACCAGAUUGUUUGGCCAGAUUUGCUCAAUCUUCCAUGUCUGGUUCUUUAUGAUGUUGUUUUCACUAAACUCUAAAUUUUUUGUUUCUGUCACACUUCGGCUUUCAGAGAUGGGGUUUGAAGUAGCAAGGAAACCCCAUGUAACUUCUCCCCGCAAGCUCUAUAGCAGAUAGCAAUAAAAUAUGUUUUUAGUUAGUACACUUUCUUUAUUCAAUUUUUAGUAUUUCAAGUUGAUGGGUUUCUUCAACUUCAAAGACUUAUGAAAUGGUUUAUUAGGAUGACUGGAAAGUAGAAUUUUAAUGUUCCAUCUAGUUCUUCAGUCUUUCUCUGGGUUCAUCAGUAUGACACAACGGGGCCACAAAAUAUAGAGAAAUUUCUAAAAUUAGGGUUUCUCCCAAAUUGACAAAAAUUCAUUUUGUUCCUUCAUAGUUGAAAGGAUUUUUUUAGAGGAGAACAAUUAUUUGUCAAUUAAUUCCAUUUCUUUUGUUUAUGAUGACCAAAUGUAUAUCCUUGGGCUAGACUAUUUAUUCCUAUGAUGUUUGCUGAGAAACUCUUCACUUCAUGCUCUUCUUGGGUUUUUUUUUUUUACAAUAAAAUUGAAUUGUUCCGUUGACUUAAAAUGCUUAUGAAUACACUUCAUUCGAAGACACUUUCUCCUCAUGCUUUGAACCUGGUGUCAUUACAAAAUAUCUAACUCUUAACCCUGUUUCUUGAUGUAUCAGAAUUGGGUGUUCAAAAAAUUUUGCAUGAUUUCCAUUUCAGACUUAUAUUUAUACGAUCAUGCAAGAAAAAUCAUGAAAACCAUAUAUAUAGUUACGUGGUUGAAAUGAAUUCAACGGUUCUGUUAUUUAUGCAUCAAGGUAUUCAAAACUUGCUUGAAAGUUAAUCUUAUGAGUAAUCUAAUUAGUCCUUGUUGUGUGACAUAUAUAAGAGACUGGACGUAAGAGAAGCUGAGGGAGGAACCAGAAUUGGUAUUAAUCCAUCAAUGCUAGACAGUUUUGCAAAUUUCAAUGGAAAGCAGAAUAUAGUGCAAAUUGGGAACAUGUGCUAUGAAGACAAUUCAUUUUAGAGAAAAACUAAAGACUCAUGUUAUAAGGAAGUAUAUCAAUCCAGAAUGGAAUGAAGAUUUAACACUUUCCAUUUCAGAUCCUGAUCUUCCAAUCAAACUGCUCCUCAGGAAAUUGACGAGUAUGAACUUGUUGAUCAUGUUGAUAUAUUGACUCCUUUAGAGAAGACAAUUUUGGAAUGGAGUGUUGCCAAGUGGUCAGAGCGAAAGGAGGUUGUUGCUGAGCUAACUAAGCUAGCAUCCACAAAAAGGAUAGCUCCUGGUGAUUUUACAGAAAUCUAUCGAACACUUAAGAAGGGUUACUUGAUGCUCUUUGGUCAUUUUGAUGUUCAAUGGUUUGGCUUUGAAGUUUGGUGGUGGCUAGAACCUUUUUCGCCAUGCCGUGUCAGUGAAGUGGAUCAUUCUAUAAUUUUCAAUACUUUUUGUAUACAUUCCCCUUUGAUGUUGCUGCUACUAUAUCCAGUAGUUUACUACCUACUCCUGCGGGUUGUGUAGGAGAUUAUACUAUAAUUUUUGGUUAGGUAGUUGUGGUAAGUAAUAGUGAUAUGGCUGUAAUACUUUUUGUUACUGUAAAACAGUGUUGUUGUUUCCAAAGUUGGAUUUACAAGUAGUAUCCUACCUAUGUACUGGUGUUAUAACAAAGAUGUACUGGUGUUAUAACAAAGAUCACAGGGAAGCAUUUUAUAGAAAAUUAUUGGUAUAUAUGCAGUAUAUAUAUGCCAG